GUGGCACCCGUUUCGGCCGUACACCACCAGCACGCUGUAGCCGUGCCGACAGUGAUCAAGUACGCGUCCGGAAGCAGCCACGGUUCCUCGGGUCACAAGUCUCACUACGGCAACUACGCGAGCGCCAGCAGCAGCGGCCACUACAGCUCGGGUCGUACCAAGAGCAGGUACUCGCCUUCGUCAUCAUCAUCGUCCAGCUCGGGUUACAAGGCGAGCAGCAGCUACAACAGGCCAUCGUCGGUGCGCGGUUCCUCUAGCGGUUCCUCCAGCGGUUCGUCCGGUUCUUCGAAAGGAUCCUCCGGGUACCAAGUAGUCGCGCAAGUAGACAUCGACCUCUCCGGCAAGCACUGAGAGCGGCCGCCAUCGGACUGUCACCACAUCGCCGCACUUCAAGAACCACCGGACCACGUUGCAAGCGACGCGAGCACUUCGACGACCAACGCGUCCUCUGCGAGCGGAGGACGGCAUACUCAUUACUUCAACACGCUGCCGGUGCAAGCGUGAUCCCUCUGGUAGAAACUGUCUGCGCCU
rnacentral:lncRNA from 1 species